rnacentral:misc_RNA from 1 species
GAUGAAGAACGCAGCGAAAUGCGAAAAGUAAUGUGAAUUGCAGAAUUCAGUGAACCAUCGAAUCUUUGAACGCACAUUGCGCCCGCUGGAACUCCGGCGGGCACGCCUGUCCGAGCGUCAUUUCAACCCUCAGGCCCCCCUUCGCGGGCGGGCCUGGUGUUGGGGCCCGGCCGCUACCCUGCGGCCGUCCCCUAAAUCCAGUGGCGGCCUCGCCGUGAUCCCUUGCGUAGUAAUGCACCUCGCACCGGAGAGCGCCGUGGCCACGCCGUAAAACCCCCAAUUUUCAAUGGUUGACCUCGGGUCAGGUGGGAAUACCCGCUGAACUUAAGCAUAUCAAUAAGCGGAGGA